GACGAACGCUGGCGGCGUGCUUAACACAUGCAAGUCGAACGGAAAGGCCCUGCUUGCAGGGUACUCGAGUGGCGAACGGGUGAGUAACACGUGGGUGAUCUGCCCUGCACUUCGGGAUAAGCCUGGGAAACUGGGUCUAAUACCGGAUAGGAGCCAUUUUUAGGGUGAUGGUUGGAAAGUUUUUUCGGUGUAGGAUGAGCUCGCGGCCUAUCAGCUUGUUGGUGGGGUAAUGGCCUACCAAGGCGGCGACGGGUGGCCGGCCGGAGAGGGUGGACGGCCACAUUGGGCCUGAGAUACGGCCCAGACCCCUACGGGAGGCAGCAGUGGGGAAUAUUGCACAAUGGGCGCAAGCCUGAUGCAGCGACGCCGCGUGGGGGAUGACGGCCUUCGGGUUGUAAACUCCUUUCGCUAGGGACGAAGCUUUUUGUGACGGUACCUAGAUAAGAAGCACCGGCUAACUACGUG
rnacentral:rRNA from 1 species